UACGUAGGGGGCAAGCGUUGUCCGGAUUUAUUGGGCGUAAAGAGCGUGUAGGCGGCCAGAUAGGUCCGUUGUGAAAACUCGAGGCUCAACCUCGAGACGCCGAUGGAAACCAUUUGGCUAGAGUCCGGAAGAGGAGAGUGGAAUUCCUGGUGUAGCGGUGAAAUGCGCAGAUAUCAGGAGGAACACCAAUGGCGAAGGCAGCUCGCUGGGGACGGUACUGACGCUGAGACGCGAAAGCGUGGGGAGCAAACAGG
rnacentral:rRNA from 1 species